rnacentral:antisense_RNA from 2 species
UUUCACGGACCCCAGCAGCAGCGGCUGGUCGGCCGGCCGGUCCUGCCCGUACGUCGCCAGGAGCGCCUGUGCCUC